rnacentral:misc_RNA from 1 species
GAUGAAGAACGUAGCGAAAUGCGAUAAGUAAUGCGAAUUGCAGAAUUUCCGUGAGUCAUCGAAUCUUUGAACGCACAUUGCGCCCAUUGGUAUUCCGAUGGGCAUGCCUGUUCGAGCGUCAUCUACACCCUCAAGCUCUGCUUGGUGUUGGGCGUCUGUCCUGCCUCCGUGUGUGGACUCGCCCCAAAUCCAUUGGCAGCGGUCUCCGCCUCCUCUCGCGCAGCACAUUGCGCUUCUUGAGGUGCUAGCGGGCCGCGUCCAGUAAGCAAUUUACCGUCUUUGACCUCGGAUCAGGUAGGGAUACCCGCUGAACUUAAGCAUAUCAAUAAGCGGAGGA